rnacentral:lncRNA from 9 species
CUUUCAAACUGAAAGAAUUUAUAAUCUAAUUUAUUAAUAUUCUCUGGAAAAGACAAAGAUACAACAGUAUGCCUGUUUAGAAAGUAUUUCAUAACUCACUCAGGGGAAAAACCUUACCUCAUUUCGGGAAAAAAUUGGGAUUUUGCCCUGUCCUUAUGUGCUAUUUUCCGUAGUAUUUUUCCAGUAGUACUUCUCCAAAUCAAGCUAGGGACAGUUCAGCUUCAAGUUUUAUUGACAUUUUUUGUGGGCAUGAAAUGCUUUUUUUAAUACCUUACUUUAACUCAUUUUGUGUAUUUCUAUGGGAUUCCUAUUUCUUUUCUGAAGAAAGGAGAAAAAGUCAUUAACUUAGAGAAGUUCAGACUUUUCAGAAGGUCAUGAAUCUGACAAGCCAGAAGCAAUGGAUCCUUCUCCAUCUGCCUUUUAUUUCCAGCACAUUUAUACAACCUUCAAGUCUUUGUUUUUCAAAUCUCAGGGAGAGCUACCCAUCCUGGAGUCAAUUGAUGGUUAUCAGGAAGGUGUUUUCAGCUAUUUUCAAAAUACCUUGCAUCUAUGGAACGUGUGUAUAUUUUUGGGUAAUGGCUACUGGACAUCUCCUUGCUUCCUGGUUAUGCCAGGAGUGCCUUUUUCCCUUCAGUACGAUUCCUUCAAACAUUUUGAUGCUUAGGAAGCUAAAUGAGAGAUGGAUUCCUGGGUCAAAGGCAUAUGAGCGUGUUUCCUCACUGGAGAAGCUGUUCAGGAAGGGCUGCAGUCACAGAAACUCAUAGAGGAGUUCCCGUUGUGGCACAGCAGGAUUGGUGGUGUCUUGGGCGUAAUGGGACACAGUUCGAUCGCAGCCUGGCCCAGUAGGAUAAAGAUCCAGCAUUGCCACAGCUGUGGCUUAGGUUGCAACCAUGGCUCAGAUCUAAUCCCUUUCCCAGGAACUCCAUAUGCCUAAGGGUGGCCCAAAAAGAAAAAGAAAAAAGGUUCAUAGAGAUUGUGGGUUCUUCUUUGCUAAGUCUCCAGUACUUACAGGACAGGGUAGUGUUAUAAAAAGAAUAAGGUCUUCGGGAUCUGGCAGAAGGGGUUUAAAUUCCAGCUUGGUCACUUUUAGCUCUGGGACCUUGGCCAUGUCUUUUAAUCUUUUUGAGUCUUGGUUUCCUUGUGUUACAAUGAAGACAUAUGUAUACUACAUGUAGGAUGAGAAGUAGUGUUUAUAAAGGGCCCAGGACAUAGGAGGCCUUUAGUAAAUCUCACAUAGUAAUAUUUCUUCUUUAUAUUUAUUUCUCGGUUUGUGUGGGUAUGGCAUAUGGGCAUCUCAAAUGAAAAUUUUGGACAUGUUUACAUUGAAACAUAAUCAAGUUGAUAACUCACUUGACUCUUACUGUUGCAAGACCCCUUGCUGGUGUGAAUGAAGAGGGACUAGAAAGAAAGUGGCAGGAGGUGGUGAAACAGGCAUUUGACCAAUGAUCAAAUUAUGAACACUGGCAAUUAGAAUACAAAUGCAAAUUUGUGUGGGUGUGGGUGUGUGUGUGUGCGCGAGAGAGAGAGAGAGAAUAUUUUUUUUUACAAUUGCCAUUCAGAAUUGCAAAGCUGAGACUUCCAUCUGUGAUCACUCAUCAUCUGAGGUUGUCUCUAUUUGAUUUGUAAUAUAAAUACAGCCCUCUUGUUCUUCCAGAUAUUCACUCUUCAGAGUGUGAACGUGAAAUUAUGUAUAGAUUUAUUUUAUCUGAAGUUGAGGGGAAAGCCUUUUGCAGGGUUGACUAUUUAUUCCUUAAUCUCCUGUUAGAAUUUCUCUAGCUUCAUUCUUCCAGCGUCUAGAAUUAUUUUCAUCUACUGAUUUUGGAUGUAUGAAAGUUUCUUCAUUGUGAGGUAUAUAUUCCCUCAGGCAAUAUUGCUUUUAACUUUUAAAAAAUGCUGAAUUAUUUACCCACUAUUAUAUAAUCCAUCUCCUCUUCUGGGAGAGUGGGAGUUUAAUACAACUCAAGCUUGUAUUGCUGAAAUUAGGAAAUUUAGAUACAGAGGUAGAACAAGGAAAUAAUGAAACCAUGCCUUACUUAUAAGGGUGACACAGUGGACUAACAUGUAAAGAUCUUUGCAGUGAUUGGCAGGUAGAAAUCACAGUGUGUGGGGGUGUCUGUGUGUGGUGCCUCACACCAUGAGGAGCAGAGAGACCUACUGCUUAGGAGUCUGGCCUCUGGAGCUAUACCGAUUUGGUUCAAAUCCAGGCAACAUCACAUACUAGCUGAUUUUGAGCUGCCUUCCUAACCCCUUUGUGUCUAAUUGAGGCAUCUACAGAAUUGGAAUAAUGGUGUCUAUCUCAACUGAUGUUGUGAGGAUUAAAUGCCACAAUUCAGAGUAAAACUCAUAGAGCAGUACCACCUGGCAUCCAUAAAUACUUGGUAGAUAUUUGCUGGUUGUUGUUGUUAUUCGGGGCGUGCCCACAGCAUGCAGAAGUUUCUGAGCCAGGAAUCAAACCUGCAUCACAGCCGUGACUACACUGAAUCCUUCACAUGCUAGGCCACUGGGGAACGCCUAGUUAUUAUUAACAUUUAACAGUUUUUUUAAAAUUAAUCAUCUAACAGUUAACUUCUCUUCUCCAUCCUUCAUAAUAUUACAUAGAAAGGAAUAAACUGAGUUGUUUUUCCUGUGAUAUUCCACAGCUUCUAUAUAGGCAAUCUCUCUGAUUCUUUGCAACACUGGAUGAACAGCUCUGGGCAGUUUUGUAUACUUCUGGUCACCUUCUGUGGAAAGGAGCCCUCGGUACUGAGGCUCCCCAGUUUGAAAGACCCCAGGAAGGCUAGAUGAGGGGGAAAAAAACCCCCAAGAGUUUCAGCUAUUUUCCAGUGUCCUCAAGAAUCUAUUUUUUUUAAAUACUGAUUUUUAUUUUUCCAUUAUAGCUGCUUUACAGUGUUCUGUCAAUUUUCUGUGGCACAGCAAGCUGACCCAGUCACACAUACAUGUAUACUUUCUUUUUUCUCCUAUUAUCAUGCUCCAUCACAAGUGACCAGACGUAGUUCCCAGUGCUAUACAGCAGGAUCUCAUUGCUUAUCCAUUCCAAAGGCUAUAGUUUGCAAGAAUCUAUUUUGAAAU